rnacentral:rRNA from 1 species
UUCCGGUUGAUCCUGCCGGACCUUACUGCUAUCGGGGUGGGACUAAGACAUGCGAGUCGAGCGUCUCUAGCUAUGUUGAGACGCGGCAGACGGCUCAGUAACACGUGGCUAACCUACCCUCAGGACAAGGAUAAACCCGGGAAACUGGGGCUAAUACUUGAUAGGCGAAGAUGCCUGGAAUGGUUUUUCACCUAAAGGGCUUUAGAAACAUGCUUCUAAAGUCGCCUGAGGAUGGGGCCGCGUCCGAUCAGGUUGUUGGUGAGGUAACGGCUCACCAAGCCUAUAACCGGUACGGGCCGUGAGAGCGGUAGCCCGGAGAUGGGUACUGAGACAAGGACCCAGGCCCUACGGGGCGCAGCAGUCGCGAAAACUCCGCAAUGCACGAAAGUGUGACGGGGCUACCCCGAGUGCCAUCCGCUGAGGAUGGCUUUUCUUUGGUAUAACUAGCCAGGGGAAUAAGGAGAGGGCAAGACUGGUGUCAGCCGGCGCGGUAAUACCAGCUCUCCGAGUGGUAGGGAUGAUUAUUGGGCUUAAAGCGUCCGUAGCCGGCUUAGCAAGUCUCCUGUUAAACUCAGCGACCUAAUCGUUGAAUCGCGGGAGAUACUACUAGGCUAGGAGGCGGGAGAGGUCGACGGUACUUCUGGGGUAGGGGUGAAAUCCUAUAAUCCCGGGAGGACCACCAGCGGCGAAAGCUGUCGACUAGAACGCGCUCGACGGUGAGGGACGAAAGCUGGGGGAGCGAACCGGAUUAGAUACCCGGGUAGUCCCAGCCGUAAACGAUGCGGGCUAGGUGUUGGGAUGGCUACGUGCCAUUUCAGUGCCGCAGGAAGCCAUUAAGCCCGCCGCCUGGGGAGUACGGCCGCAAGGCUGAAACUUAAAGGAAUUGGCGGGGGAGCACCACAAGGCGUGAAGCUUGCG